rnacentral:rRNA from 1 species
CGGUAAUACGGAGGAUCCAAGCGCCGCAUAAGGCUGCCAAACCCGGGAAAUCCGUAGGCGGUCAGAUAAGUCAGUGGUGAGAGCUUAUCGCUCAACGGUGGAACGGCCAUUGAUACUGUCUGACUUGAAUUAUUAGGAAGUAACUAGAAUAUGUAGUGUAGCGGUGAAAUGCUUAGAGAUUACAUGGAAUACCAAUUGCGAAGGCAGGUUACUACUAAUGGAUUGACGCUGAUGGACGAAAGCGUGGGUAGCGAACAGGAUUAGACACCCUGGUAGUCCACGCCGUAAACGAUGGAUACUAGCUGUUGGGAGCAAUCUCAGUGGCUAACUCGGCGUGAUAAGUAUCCCACCUACGGAGUACGUUCGCAAGAAUGAA